AAGAUGUAACGGGGCUAAACCAUGCACCGAAGCUGCGGCAGCGAUGCUUAUGCGUUGUUGGGUAGGGGAGCGUUCUGUAAGCCUGCGAAGGUGUGCUGUGAGGCAUGCUGGAGGUAUCAGAAGUGCGAAUGCUGACAUAAGUAACGAUAAAGCGGGUGAAAAGCCCGCUCGCCGGAAGACCAAGGGUUCCUGUCCAACGUUAAUCGGGGCAGGGUGAGUCGACCCCUAAGGCGAGGCCGAAAGGCGUAGUCGAUGGGAAACAGGUUAAUAUUCCUGUACUUGGUGUUACUGCGAAGGGGGGACGGAGAAGGCUAUGUUGGCCGGGCGACGGUUGUCCCGGUUUAAGCGUGUAGGCUGGUUUUCCAGGCAAAUCCGGAAAAUCAAGGCUGAGGCGUGAUGACGAGGCACUACGGUGCUGAAGCAACAAAUGCCCUGCUUCCAGGAAAAGCCUCUAAGCAUCAGGUAACAUCAAAUCGUACCCCAAACCGACACAGGUGGUCAGGUAGAGAAUACCAAGGCGCUUGAGAGAACUCGGGUGAAGGAACUAGGCAAAAUGGUGCCGUAACUUCGGGAGAAGGCACGCUGAUAUGUAGGUGAAGUCCCUUGCGGAUGGAGCUGAAAUCAGUCGAAGAUACCAGCUGGCUGCAACUGUUUAUUAAAAACACAGCACUGUGCAAACACGAAAGUGGACGUAUACGGUGUGACGCCUGCCCGGUGCCGGAAGGUUAAUUGAUGGGGUCAGCGCAAGCGAAGCUCUUGAUCGAAGCCCCGGUAAACGGCGGCCGUAACUAUAACGGUCCUAAGGUAGCGAAAUUCCUUGUCGGGUAAGUUCCGACCUGCACGAAUGGCGUAAUGAUGGCCAGGCUGUCUCCACCCGAGACUCAGUGAAAUUGAACUCGCUGUGAAGAUGCAGUGUACCCGCGGCAAGACGGAAAGACCCCGUGAACCUUUACUAUAGCUUGACACUGAACAUUGAGCCUUGAUGUGUAGGAUAGGUGGGAGGCUUUGAAGUGUGGACGCCAGUCUGCAUGGAGCCGGCCUUGAAAUACCACCCUUUAAUGUUUGAUGUUCUAACGUGGACCCGUGAUCCGGGUUGCGGACAGUGUCUGGUGGGUAGUUUGACUGGGGCGGUCUCCUCCUAAAGAGUAACGGAGGAGCACGAAGGUUGGCUAAUCCUGGUCGGACAUCAGGAGGUUAGUGCAAUGGCAUAAGCCAGCUUGACUGCGAGCGUGACGGCGCGAGCAGGUGCGAAAGCAGGUCAUAGUGAUCCGGUGGUUCUGAAUGGAAGGGCCAUCGCUCAACGGAUAAAAGGUACUCCGGGGAUAACAGGCUGAUACCGCCCAAGAGUUCAUAUCGACGGCGGUGUUUGGCACCUCGAUGUCGGCUCAUCACAUCCUGGGGCUGAAGUAGGUCCCAAGGGUAUGGCUGUUCGCCAUUUAAAGUGGUACGCGAGCUGGGUUUAGAACGUCGUGAGACAGUUCGGUCCCUAUCUGCCGUGGGCGCUGGAGAACUGAGGGGGGCUGCUCCUAGUACGAGAGGACCGGAGUGGACGCAUCACUGGUGUUCGGGUUGUCAUGCCAAUGGCACUGCCCGGUAGCUAAAUGCGGAAGAGAUAAGUGCUGAAAGCAUCUAAGCACGAAACUUGCCCCGAGAUGAGUUCUCCCUGACCCUUUAAGGGUCCUGAAGGAACGUUGAAGACGACGACGUUGAUAGGCCGGGUGUGUAAGCGCAGCGAUGCGUUGAGCUAACCGGUACUAAUGAACCGUGAGG
rnacentral:rRNA from 1 species